rnacentral:rRNA from 1 species
UGGGGAAUCUUGCGCAAUGGGCGAAAGCCUGACGCAGCAACGCCGCGUGAGGGACGAAGGCUUUCUGAGUUGUAAACCUCUUUCAGCAGGGACGAUUGUGACGGUACCUGCAGAAGAAGCACCGGCCAACUACGUGCCAGCAGCCGCGGUGAUACGUAGGGUGCAAGCGUUGUCCGGAUUUAUUGGGCGUAAAGAGCUCGUAGGCGGUUUGAUAAGUCGGAUGUGAAACCCCCAGGCUUAACCUGGGGCCGCCAUUCGAUACUGUCAUGACUUGAGUCCGGUAGGGGACCACGGAAUUCCUGGUGUAGCGGUGAAAUGCGCAGAUAUCAGGAGGAACACCAGCGGCGAAGGCGGUGGUCUGGGCCGGCACUGACGCUGAGGAGCGAAAGCGUGGGGAGCGAACAGGAUUAGAUACCCUGGUAGUCCACGCCGUAAACGUUGGGCACUAGGUGUGGGGCCUAUUCAACGGGUUCCGUGCCGCAGCUAACGCAUUAAGUGCCCCGCCUGGGGAGUACGGCCGCAAGGCUA